AUUUAUAUAAAUAUACAACUUUUUGUUCCCAAUAUACCUUACAACAAGUUAUUCAUGUGAGGGUGUCUUUGAGAAGAUUUUAGCUUUAGACAAUAUAGGUCAUUCCAUGAAUGUGUCAAUCCCUUGAGCCGUAAUUAUUUGAGGUCUCAUGUUUCCUUGUCUAGAAAGGUGCACGGCCUUUUCAAGAUCAAGAAGAGAUGUCAUGUACAGGAGUUAACAUACGAGUAACAAUUUUGGGUGUGUCUAGUGGAAGAGUGGUAACGUUGAACGAAUUUCACGAAGGAGAUUCAGAAUUUGAUCUCUAAGGGUGAUAAUUUCUCUUUAUUUUAUUUAAUUAUUGAUUAUUAAUAUUUGUUUAUUAAAAACAAUUUAUAUUUGUGAAUCCAAUAAAAACAUAAUCUGUAUUUAUUGGUAAAACUCAAGGCAAUCAAUGAUUAGCAACAAUGAACUAGAUGUAAUAUAAAUUUGUAUUGAUCACGUUGAUUAUUAUUGGGAAUUUCAAACAUUUCCUCACUUAAACCUAUUCAAUCAAGUGUAAAAUUGACAUUACGUGUAAAAAUAAAUCAAAUUGAUCAUAAGAGUCUAAAAUGUAGUCUAUGUUAAGUCUGAAUUAGAUUAUACUUUAAAAAAAAUUGACAAAAAAAAUUAUUUAAUAUUUCUUUGUUUACCAAGUGGAUAUGAAGGUUCCUUGGAUUUUAUGACAAUUAAUAUGUGCAACCACAAGAACAUUGGAUAUAGUCUAAAUUAGGAAUGUCCUAAAAAAAUUUAUAAUAUAUAUGAAGCUUUAAAAAUUGUAUUGAUGUCUUAAUUUUGUAUACUGACCAUUUUAUCAUUUUAUAUUUACAUUUUAUGUCCUGAAUAAAUAUCUAAUUUGAAGAAAGACUAUUUUCUCUCUAUGUUCGCUCUAGACAGAUACUAAACAUAAUUUCUCUAAAUUCUCCUCUCCUCUCCACGCCCCAUUGAGUAUGUGACAGCGGCUUAAUGGUAGGAUUUUGUGAUUUAAUUAUUUUAAGAAUUUAAUUUGUUUGAAAUAGAUGAUUAACUGAAUUGCUAAUUUUAGGAACUCAAUAUCUAUAAGGGUUUAAUAUGAUGUUAUUUUAUUAGAAUUUAGUAACUCAUGACCGAUUUGGUGAUUUACAAUGAUACAAAUAGAUCGUUUGCUGGUAAUCUAUUAGAUCGUUUGUCAGUAAAAGUUGCGGAGUUAAUCAUUAGCUCACACAAUUGUGAGAAAUUCUAGAUUUUUUCUUAUUAUGCCUCAUAAGAUUAGAAAGUAUGACUCUAGAUAUGACAAGUGUAUGAAAAAGAAAAAAAACUUGGAAGAUUUAACUAAAUCUCAAGCAGGAGCUCUUGAUAAUUUUUUUAUCAAAGAACCACUAAUUUUCGUUGAAAAUCAUAAUGUUGAUGUUAAAAUUCUUGAUAAUGCGUCCAUUGAAAAUGAUGAUGUUGACAAUGUUCAUUGUAAUGAUGGUCAUGAUUUUAAUUUGAAUAAUCCACUUGAUAAUGAAGAGGACAAUGUAGAGCACAAACCCAUUUGAACAUUUGUUCAAUGUAUUUGACUAUUCUCGUGACAAUUGCUUCUACAUAAAUAAGUUUUUUAAAAUUGAAGUUGUUGAAGUUUUAUUUGCAAUCUACCAUGCUACAAAAAAGACUUGAUGGAUCAGCAUUGAUAGCAAUUAAGAAUUAUCUUUUGGAGACAAUACAAUAUGAAGACUUGCUGAUGAAUUUACUUCAAACUCCUCAAAAUGAAUUCACUUCUCUUUAGGCGGCUCAACCACUACCCACACGUCCAAAUAGUAUAUGAUCUCCAAAUCACUCCAUAGUGUCCUCCCAAGCAUUCUCAAGGAGUGAGGUGGUAUGUGACCCGCCAGCUAUAUUGUGAAAUAUUACCUUGGUUCCAGUGUGGGAGCACAUUUUUGGGGCGAUUUAUGGAUUGAUAUUUCACCAUUGUUGGAUUUAUUUCGUCGUUUUUAUUAGGUUUCUUGAAUAAAGAUACCAGUGUUUUUGAAAUUGGUUGGAGUUGGAGGUGGCUAUGUUUGUGUGGGAGGAGUGUUCAGUGAAUUGGAAACUUUUCUUUGACCAAUUUGUCCAAAAUCUAGGGAGGUGGGAUAUUUGGAUUUGGACUUAUGAUGUUCGGUUAUUGAAUUCACUUCAGUUUUUGUGGAAAUAUUAAGUGCCAUCGAAGGUGUUAAUCUUUGUGUGGAGAUUCUUACAAAAUUGUUACCAUCCUUGGAGGCUCUUGCGGUGAGGCGCAUUAAUGAUGUGUCCCAUAAUAUUUCUUGUGUUAUGUGGUUUGUGAUUGAUGGGGGCUUAUUGUUACCAUAGAGAUAACCAUUUUCUUCAAUUUAAGGGAUGUUUAAAGACAAUAUGUGGAAAGUGAGACACAUUAUUUGGUUGGCAAUUGUUUGGUCUACUCGGUUACUUCGCAAUGGUGUUAUCUUUUAAGGUAAAAGUGGGGAAUGUGAACCGUUGGUUGACAAUAUUAAAAUAGUGUUGCUACUUGGUACAGUACCAUUGCCGACGAAAUAAAACGAAACAUGCAUCACUAUGUAAGGAACCACAUAAUCAAUCAUAGGGUAAGUUGAAAAUAUAUUGAAGUCAAUCAAAAUGAUACAAGUUGCAUUCUUGCA